GAUUGCAAUAUCCUCUCUGCAAUCGCGGCUG
rfam:Bacteroidales bacterium 45-6 scnpilot_expt_750_p_scaffold_9760, whole genome shotgun sequence.